rnacentral:rRNA from 1 species
AGGGUCCUAGAAGAUGACUAGGUCGAUAGGCUAUAGAUGUAAAGGCAGUAAUGUCAUAGUCGAGUAGUACUAAUAACCCGUUAGCUUAUGUA